GGCUCGGUGGUGAAUGGUCCACAUCUGCAUUACUUGAAUAGGAUAUUUAGGCCGUUAAAGCAGAAGAAGCCUGUUCGAUUCAGGCCUGAGCCA